rnacentral:rRNA from 1 species
UGGGGAAUCUUGGACAAUGGGGGAAACCCUGAUCCAGCCAUGCCGCGUGAGUGAUGAAGGCCCUAGGGUUGUAAAACUCUUUCGGCGGGGACGAUAAUGACGGUACCCGCAGAAGAAGCUCCGGCUAACUUCGUGCCAGCAGCCGCGGUAAUACGAAGGGGGCUAGCGUUGUUCGGAAUUACUGGGCGUAAAGCGCGCGCAGGCGGUCCUUCAAGUCAGAGGUGAAAGCCCAGAGCUCAACUCUGGAACGGCCUUUGAGACUAGAGGACUAGGGUACGGGAGAGGUGAGUGGAAUUCCGAGUGUAGAGGUGAAAUUCGUAGAUAUUCGGAAGAACACCAGUGGCGAAGGCGGCUCACUGGCCCGUUACCGACGCUCAGGCGCGACAGCGUGGGGAGCAAACAGGAUUAGAUACCCUGGUAGUCCACGCCGUAAACGAUGGAUGCUAGCCGUUGGUAAGCAUGCUUAUCAGUGGCGCAGCUAACGCAUUAGGCGUCCCGCCUGGGGAGUACGGCCGCAAGGUUGA